rnacentral:lncRNA from 1 species
AAUAAAAUACUGUACAUUGGAAAUUGUAUAAAUCACGAGAGCAUAUCGUUUCACAUAUAAAAGUAAAAUAUAGAAUAUUAUUUUGUAAGUCAAGAAUUAGUGUACAUAAGUUGCAAAGGUUCUACAAUACAAGAUUCCUAGAAUAUGUGAAAAUCUAGCUGCGAGAAACCAAUAUUAAGUAGGGUCUUCACAAUUUCCAUCUUGCGUUGUUCUUGUGUCUUACCUACAAAAGAGUGCAAAUAAAUAAUUCAGUAACUCUUUUGACAUACAAUACCUUUUAACAAUUCAAAAGUUAGCAUACACAAGUCCACAAAAUGUUCAAUAUAUCUCAAUAUAUUUAAACUGCUUCUAGUGCAGUUAAUCUUUGUUUCUCUAUGUGCAUGUACAAAGUUGUUAAGUAAUGUGUUUGAUUUUUCUACAAUCAGAGAGAUUUACUUGCCGGUGCAGACAAGAAAUCAAGAUGCCAUUAACUUUUGGUAUAUGAAAUUAGCUUUAAGGUUAGUUGUAACAAGGCAUCCCGGGUUUAUACUGAAUUGGGGAAAGGGCCGCAUCCCAAGGGGUGUGAUGUGGAUAGCCUAUCACUCAAAGGUACUUAUAAUAAUUAUUUAUAAAUAGAACUUCAGAGAUAAAAUUACUUAGAAAUAUUAUUCAUAAACAUAAAUUAUUCAUGAGACAAAAAAUAUGAUCAUUUGGGAAGGCUAAGUAAACCUCAGCCAAUAGUAAAUUAACCUACAACAGUAAAAUUACUUUAGAUCCCAAGUUCCCCUUUUUAGUUCUUCUUGUGAACACGCCAUAAUGAAAAUAAUAAAAUCAAUUGUGGACAAUCAUAAAGAGAGAAUUCAAGUAAAUAUGGAAUUCAAAUAUCUUUUUUGGCCUCAAUCAUGGAUUAUUCAAUACCAAAAGAUCAGAAUAAAAGUUCUCAAGUUCACCUAUUCUGGGCAAAAAAUAAAAAUAAAUAGCACAUAUCAUAACUAGCACUGCUAUUGUAGCCAGUGUCCUAACAAUAACAAAAAUAUUCCACAAACAAGGUUUCGUUAGGUGGUUAUUCUUUGUGGAAGGAUAUAACAAUAAUGAGUACCUGUCAAAAAUGACACAGGUAGCCUGAAAGCUCUUAGCUCUUCUUGUAGUAAUCUCUUUGAGUAUUCUGCCUCAACUGACAAAUCGUAUCCAAUCUGAAAGGCAUGGCUAAUGGAUACUACAUUAAUUCCUUCUAGUCUAUAUACUAGUACUUAUACAAUUCACUCUACUUCAGUAUAUAGAUGGCUAGAUUUCUACUAAUUAAACAAUCUUAUCUAAGAACGAUAUUUUAUACAAAUAGUCAGCAAAAUUUACUGUUCAUUUUUUCUGGCCGAUAUACAUCAAUUAUAUACUUAUUAUACAAGGUUAUACACACAUAAUACAUAUUUAUUAUAUACAUAUUAUAUAUUAUAUAUAUAUAUAUAUAUAUAUAUAUAUAUAUACACACACACAUUUAGCAAGUUAACAAAACUUAGCCCAAAAGAACAUCAAAAAGUGAUGGAAGAAAUAAGAAUAUAAUAAUUCUUUUAGCUCAUCAUUGUUCCCAUACUCUGCUAAGAAAUUGUGAUAUGCCUAUCAAACCAAAGGUUAAAGAAUUACUAAGAUGAAUCCGUGAAAGUAAUUUAAUGAUUUAGACUUUAGAAUCUAUACAUUAUUUUGAAUAUUCCAAUAACAAUGGUGUUAGUUUGACAUCAAGCAACAACAAAUAACAAUUACUUUUUACCAUAUACAAUUCCUCUCAACUCCUACUUUAAUCUGUGCAACCUGUCAUUAGUCAUAACAUAAGUCUCGAAUAAUUUAGCAAUUACACUAUUAUCCAACUCUUUUCUCUGGUCAAUUACCUAUAACUCAGAGUAUCAUGAAUCUUCGCUAUAAUACAUCAGUUUUUGAUCUUAUAUAAAUGUAUGGUUUACUCUCCCUAAGAUCCUCCAAAUAAUUCUUACUUCUAAUUAUUUAUAGCUUGGAACUAAAUGUACAAGAAAAAUUGAAGGAUAGAGAAGAUGGUUUGGGGGGUGGGGGUGGGGGGUCGCAAGUACUCAUUUGAAGUCAUAGGUGCACUUCAUCAACCAAUUCAACUAGCACAGCUAUGCAAAAGAAUUUAAGAGACGUCAUACAUGGUAGUUGUAUUUAAUUUUUUUGGAUGACGAAAUGCAUCAAUAAGCAGUGGAAUAUUUAGGAGUAUAAUAUUAACAACUUGACACCAAAACUUAAAUUAAAUAAAUCCUUGCUGCAACUUUGAAGCUACAAUAGAAGACUUGACUUCAAGAAAUUGUUCCAACAAAGUUUAUCUAUAAUUUAAGGAAUGCAAAAUUCCUCACACAAAUGAGAAAUCAAAACAACGGGUCCAAGUAUAAAGAUUUGCAAAGGCAAAAACGAGGCAGCAAAAAUAAUGUAGAAGAUUAGAGAAAGAGACCUUUAUACCCUAGGUCCUAGUAACGAGGGUAUUCAGACAAUCUAAGAAGCAUUGCUACCUCAGGGGUCUUCUUUAUUUAUUGGAGAUGCUGACCAGAUUCUACAAGUAUGCAAAAGGAGGAUGACCUCGAGGUGUUGGGCAAGUCCAUGGCUCGGCACCUUCUUUGUUUGCCGGAGGGGUGAAAUCUAUUACGGUUCUAGCAAAGAGAAACGAGAGGAAGCCUUGGGAAGGUUACACCUUACCAGAUAUGUAGCCUCGUCGGAGGGAUGCCUUCAAUAGAGGUACUGGAACUGAUUUCGUCGGAGCUAUGGUUCGAUGUAUUCGAGGCAAGAAUGGUUUUGAGAAAUUUAAAGGAGGUCUUUUUUUACUUUUUCCUUUUUAUUUCGGAUGGAUAUAAGCUAAGUUUGGGAAAAUUAAAGGUAGGAGGGAGAAUAGGGUGGAACUGAAAAGCGUCGCUAUAAAUUAUUUUUCAUAGAACCGUUACCAAAG